AUGUAUACAAAGGUGAAAAAAGCCAACAAAUCUAGUAUUCGAUACUCGGUUAGAGUUGAUGCAGAAACCGACAAGGUUGAAGGUGAACAUGCUGAUGAUUUUUUGGGUUACAUUGCGUUACAUGGUAAAAGUAAAGAUCAGUUUAUUGUUACUCCAAAUGAUAAGUGCGUGAAAACAAAAAUGUUUUCUUAUUGUGGUGAGCGUUAG